rnacentral:rRNA from 1 species
CGUAGUGACUGCGAGAUCAUUG